AUGACGGGCACCGUGUGCCAUGUGGGGAAAGUGAAGGACUGGGAGCGGCUGGUGGCCACAGUGAGCUGCAGGGAAAUGGGCACAGAGCCAGGAGGUGGAAAAGGGAGCCAGCCUGAGCCUCCUUCCCUGCUUUCCUGGACAGCAUUGGGCUUCAGUCCUUACAAUGUCAGUAAAACAGCCUUGCUGGGCCUGACCAAGACCCUGGCCAUAGAGCUGGCCCCAAGGAACAUUAGGGUGAACUGCCUAGCACCUGGACUUAUCAAGACUAGCUUCAGCAGGAUGCUCUGGAUGGACAAGGAAAAAGAGGAAAGCAUGAAAGAAACCCUGCGGAUAAGAAGGUUAGGCGAGCCAGAGGAUUCUGUUGGCAUCGUGUCUUUCCUGUGCUCUGAAGAUGCCAGCUACAUCACUGGGGAAACAGUGGUGGUGGGUGGAGGAACCCCGUCCCGCCUCUGAGGACUCGGAGACAGCCCACGGGCCAGAGUUGGGCUCUAGCUCCUGGUGCUGUUCCUGCAUUCACCCACUGGCCUUUCCCACCUCUGCUCACCUUACUGUUCACCUCAUCAAAUCAGUUCUGCCCUGUGGAAAGUCCAGCCUUCCCUGCCGUCAAGGUGGCGUCUUACUCGGGAUUCCUGCUGUUGUUGUGGCCUUGGGUAAAGGCCUCCCCUGAGAACACAGGACAGGCCUGCUGACAAGGCUGAGUCUACCUUGGCAAAGACCAAGAUAUUUUUUGCCCAGGCCACUGGGGAAUUUGAGGGGAGAUGAGAGAGAAGGAAGCUGGAGUGGAAGGAGCAGAGUUGCAAAUUAACAACUUGCAAAUGAGGUGCAAAUAAAAUGCAGAUGAUUGCGCGGCUUUG
rnacentral:sRNA from 1 species